rnacentral:rRNA from 1 species
UGGGGAAUAUUGCACAAUGGGCGCAAGCCUGAUGCAGCCAUGCCGCGUGUGUGAAGAAGGCCUUCGGGUUGUAAAGUACUUUCAGCGGGGAGGAAGGGAGUAAAGUUAAUACCUUUGCUCAUUGACGUUACCCGCAGAAGAAGCACCGGCUAACUCCGUGCCAGCAGCCGCGGUAAUACGGAGGGUGCAAGCGUUAAUCGGAAUUACUGGGCGUAAAGCGCACGCAGGCGGUUUGUUAAGUCAGAUGUGAAAUCCCCGGGCUCAACCUGGGAACUGCAUCUGAUACUGGCAAGCUUGAGUCUCGUAGAGGGGGGUAGAAUUCCAGGUGUAGCGGUGAAAUGCGUAAAGAUCUGGAGGAAUACCGGUGGCGAAGGCGGCCCCCUGGACGAAGACUGACGCUCAGGUGCGAAAGCGUGGGGAGCAAACAGG